CUUUACUCAAAUUUUCACCCUUAAUUUCAAAUUCUUGCCUCAUGGCUUUUUUUUUAAGCAUAUAUUUUUCACACAACAUAUGUUUUUGCAUACAACAUUUGAAUAUAUCAGCUGUGUUUUGCUUUUUUGCAAAAA